UAGGGAAUAUCUUCGGCAAUGGGGGCAACCCUGACCGAGCAACGCCGCGUGAGUGAAGAAGGUUUUCGGUCGUAAAGCUCUGUUGUAAGAGAAGAACGUGUGUGAGAGUGGAAAGUUCACACAGUGACGGUAACUUACCAGAAAGGGACGGCUAACUACGUG
rnacentral:rRNA from 1 species